rnacentral:tRNA from 1 species
UCCCUGCUGGCUCAGACAGUAAAGAAUCUGCCUGCAAUGCAGGAGACCAGGUUCGAUUCUUGGGUUGGGAG